rnacentral:rRNA from 1 species
CAGAGACUGCAAGCGUUAUUCGGAUUCACUGGGCGUAAAGGGUGCGCAGGCGGCCAAGUGUGUGAGGCGCGAAAGCCUGGAGCUUAACUCCAGAAUUGCACCUCAAACUACAUGGCUAGAGCAUUGGAGAGGGUAGCGGAAUUCACGGUGUAGCAGUGAAAUGCGUAGAUAUCGUGAGGAACACCAGAGGCGAAGGCGGCUACCUGGACAAUUGCUGACGCUCAGGCACGAAAGCGUGGGGAGCAAAAGGGAUUAGAUACCCCUGUAGUCCACGCCCUAAACGGUGCACACUAGGUCUUGGCGGAUUCGACCCCACCAGGGCCCAAGCUAACGCGUUAAGUGUGCCGCCUGAGGACUACGGCCGCAAGGCUA